GCCCCCGUAUCUCAAUGGAUAGAGUGGCGGUCUCCGAAGCCGCAAAUGCAGGUUCGAUUCCUGCCGGGGGUA
rnacentral:tRNA from 1 species